GAUGAACGCUAGCUACAGGCUUAACACAUGCAAGUCGAGGGGAAACGACAUCGAAAGCUUGCUUUUGAUGGGCGUCGACCGGCGCACGGGUGAGUAACGCGUAUCCAACCUGCCCACCACUUGGACAGCCUUCUGAAAGGAAGAUUAAUACAAGAUGGCAUCAUGAGUCCGCAUGUUCACAUGAUUAAAGGUAUUCCGGUAGACGAUGGGGAUGCGUUCCAUUAGAUAGUAGGCGGGUAACGGCCCACCUAGUCUUCGAUGGAUAGGGGUUCUGAGAGGAAGGUCCCCCACAUUGGAACUGAGACACGGUCCAAACUCCUACGGGAGGCAGCAGUGAGGAAUAUUGGUCAAAUGGGCGAGAGCUGAACCAGCCAAGUAGCGUGAAGGAUGACUGCCCUAUGGGUUGUAAACUUCUUUAUAAAGGAAUAAAGUC
rnacentral:rRNA from 1 species